GCAGGUUUAGGUUACCGCACUGUAACCUGAGGCGGCGGAGGAGAGACGGACUCUUUCACUGAAAACCACAAAGCAGACAGGCCCCAGAGCGGCUGACAGAGGAGCGUGCGGGCCCCGGGAGCGGAGGGCCACAGCAGGAGCCGUCACCCUAUAUGAUGUACAGUCGGCCCUGUAAGUGCAGAUUCAGGCAGGACACAUCCCCAACUGCAGGAUCUCAAAAUGUCCCGUCUAGUUAGAGGAAGGGGGGAAGGUCUCACUACGAGGACCCCAUAAUCGGGGGACACUCAGUGGGCACACCUGAGAGGUAGAUGGUAGACGGGCCCUCUGACAAUCCUCAGAGUAGAGGGCUGCUCUGAGGCGCUGUCCAUAAAGGGGCAUGUGACAUCAUAAAGCUGUGAUGCCACAGGGUAUAUAAAGAGAACACUGGGCCCGGCAGCCAUUUGCAAUCUGCUCCUUGGCAGAGGAAGAGCCCAGCACGUCUUCGCCAUGCCACCUAGAAGGAAGAGAGUCAGCGGCGCGCCUAGAAGGAGGCGCAGAUACCGGCGGACCGGCCCCUAUCAGCACCAGCAGAAAAAAGUUCACAGGCGCAGACGUCAUCGUCACUAAAGUCAAUGGGUGUGAAGAAGGAAAAGAACGUAUCUCGCUCACAAUCCCCAGUCACUGC